GCAGUCGUGGCCGAGUGGUUAAGGCGAUGAACUCGAAAUCCAUUGGGGUCUCCCCGCACAGGUUCAAAUCCUGUCGACUGCG
rnacentral:tRNA from 2 species